rnacentral:snoRNA from 1 species
UCAUCAUGGGGGAUAAUCCUUAACUCUUCCUCCUUUUGGAGGGCAGAUUAGAACAUGAUGAUUGGAGUUUACAUGAUGCAUAAUUAUUGUCUUUGCAUAAUCAGGAUUUGUAAUAUCCUUAUUGCUUCUAUCUGAU